rnacentral:lncRNA from 1 species
AGGCCGCCUCCGCGCCACAAUCCACGGGCGCCGGCCAGCCAAGGUCUCCGCGCUCUCCCGGGCCCAGGCCGGCUCCGCCUUGCACACUUCCCGGGAGCAGUUUCCCAGCACAGACUUGGGUGCGUUGUUCAGACAAAGAGUCAAACGCAGGGACUGCACAGUUGAACAACCCUGAGCUGUUGGCGUCCUCUGAAACUCUCCUCCUGGAACUCACUUCCGUCUGGAGAGACCUCAAGAAUGAAGAUUGGAUCCGAGUCCCAGCCUAUGAAGAUUUUCUUGCCGAUUUCGAACGUGAAAGGAAAAUGAAAUAAACACGUAAUAAAAGC